AUUGAACGCUAGCGGGAUGCUUUACACAUGCAAGUCGAACGAGUGGGGACGGGUGAGUAACACGUGGGUAACCUCCCAUCAGAGGGGAUAACACUUUGAAACAGGUGCUAAACCGAUUCUGAUUGAUGGACCCGCGGUGCAUGAGCUAGUUGGUGAGGUAACGGCUCACCAAGGCCACGAUGCAUCGCCGACCUGAGAGGGGGAUCGGCCACACUGGGACUGAGACACGGCCCAGACUCCUACGGGAGGCAGCAGUAGGGAAUCUUCGGCAAUGGACGAAAGUCUGACCGAGCAACGCCGCGUGAGUGAAGAAGGUUUUCGGAUCGUAAAACUCUGUUGUUAGAGAAGCGGUAUCUAACCAGAAAGCCACGGCUAACUACGUGCCAGCAGCCGCGGUAAUAC
rnacentral:rRNA from 1 species